rnacentral:rRNA from 1 species
UGGGGAAUUUUGGACAAUGGGGGAAACCCUGAUCCAGCCAUCCCGCGUGUGUGAUGAAGGCCUUCGGGCUGUAAAGCACUUUUGUCAGGAAAGAAACGUCAUGGGCUAAUACCCCGUGAAACUGACGGUACCUGCAGAAUAAGCACCGGCUAACUACGUGCUUGCAGCCGCGGUAAUACGUAGGGUGCAAGCGUUAAUCGGAAUUACUGGGCGUAAAGCGUGCGCAGGCGGUUCGGAAAGAAAGAUGUGAAAUCCCAAAGCUCAACUUUGGAACUGCAUUUCUAACUGCCUGGCUAGAGUGUGUCAGAGGGAGGUGGAAUUCCGCGUGUAGCAGUGAAAUGCGUAGAUAUGCGGAGGAACACCGAUGACGAAGGCAGCCACCUGGAAUAACACUGACGCUCAUGCACGAAAGCGUGGGGAGCAAACAGG